rnacentral:rRNA from 1 species
AAUCAACGCUGGCGGCGUGCCUCAGACAUGCAAGUCGAACGCGAAAGUCUCCUUCGGGGGAUAAGUAGAGUGGCGCACGGGUGAGUAACACGUAGGUAAUCUACCUUCGGAUGGGGAAGUAACAACCGGAAACGGUUGCUAAUACCGCAUAAUGCAGCGGCACCUAAUGGUGACAGUUGUUAAAGCGGGGGAUCGAAAGACCUCGCGUCUGAAGAGGAGCCUGCGGCGGAUAGCUAGUUGGUAGGGUAAUGGCCUACCAAGGCGACGAUCCGUAGCCG